rnacentral:rRNA from 1 species
CCUACGGGAGGCAGCAGUGGGGAAUAUUGGGCAAUGGGCGAAAGACUGACCCAGCAAAGCCGCGUGAAGGAAGAAGGCCCUCGGGUUGUAAACUUCUUUUAUCAAGGACGAAACACCUGACGGUCCUUGGUGAAUAAGCCACUGCUAAAUACGGGCCAGCAGCCGCGGUGAUACGUGGGUGGCAGGCGUUCUGCGGAUUUACUGGGUGUAAAGGGCUUGUAGGCGGGAUUGCCAGGCAGGUGAGAAAACCGUGGGCUCAACCCAUGGCCUGCCGUUGAAACUGUAGGUCUUGAGUGUGGGAGAGGCAGGCGGAAUGCCGUGUGUAGCGGUGAAAUGCGUAGAUAUACGGAGGAACACCAGUGGCGAAGGCGGCCUGCUGGACAAUAACUGACGCUGAGGCGCGAAAGCGUGGGGAGCAAACAGGAGUAGAUACCCCUGUAGUC